rnacentral:rRNA from 1 species
GAUGAACGCUGGCGGCGUGCCUAAUACAUGCAAGUCGAGCGAACAGAUGAGGAGCUUGCUCCUCUGACGUUAGCGGCGGACGGGUGAGUAACACGUGGAUAACCUACCUAUAAGACUGGGAUAACUUCGGGAAACCGGAGCUAAUACCGGAUCAUAUAUUGAACCGCAUGGUUCAAUAGUGAAAGACGGUUUUGCUGUCACUUAUAGAUGGAUCCGCGCCGCAUUAGCUAGUUGGUAAGGUAACGGCUUACCAAGGCAACGAUGCGUAGCCGACCUGAGAGGGUGAUCGGCCACACUGGAACUGAGACACGGUCCAGACUCCUACGGGAGGCAGCAGUAGGGAAUCUUCCGCAAUGGGCGAAAGCUUGACGGAGCAACGCCGCGUGAGUGAUGAAGGUCUUCGGAUCGUAAAACUCUGUUAUUAGGGAAGAACAAAUGUGUAAGUAACUAUGCACGUCUUGACGGUACCUAAUCAGAAAGCCACGGCUAACUACGUG